UAUGGUCACAGUAUGUUGAAACACUGGUUCUUGUAUGAUCACCAAAGUUAAGCAACAUAGAACCUGGUCACUACCCAGAUAGGUGACCACUUGAGAAUACUAGGGGCUGUAAG